UACAGAGGCCUCGAGCGUUAGGCGGAAUCACUGGGCUUAAAGCGUGUGUAGGCGGACUUCUAAGUGCCUUGUGAAAUCCCACGGCUCACCCGUGGAACUGCUGGGCAUACUGGGAGUCUUGAGCCACCUAGGGGCGAGCGGAACAAAUGGUGGAGCGGUGAAAUGCGUAGAUAUCAUUUGGAACGCCAACGGAGAAAUCAGCUCGCUGGGGGUGUGCUGACGCUGAGGAGCGAAAGCGUGGGGAGCGAACAGG
rnacentral:rRNA from 1 species